rnacentral:lncRNA from 1 species
UGAUGAUAAAAAUGUAGUUAAACUGCAGCAAAUCCAAUUCCCAUUUAAACAACCAAAUUUGGCAUGGACGCUCUUAGCGCCUCUCCUUUUCCUUGAGACUAUGCCAAUGUAUCAAUAAUAAAAAAAUCAAAUAACAUAGCUCAUAUACAAAGGGAUCAAAAUAAAACAUGUUCUUAGUUUUUUACAUUUACAUGUCCAAUAUGAUAUUCACAUGGCAAU